UGGGGCGUGGCCAAGCGGCAAGGCAGCGGGUUUUGAUCCCGAGAUUCGAAGGUUCGAAUCCUUCCGUCCCAG
rnacentral:tRNA from 1 species